GGUACCCCCUGUGUGAGACAUGGUAAAAUUUCAUGAGAUUGUGGAAUGUACCAAGUUUUUAGUAUCACAAUCAUUGUUGUAAUAACAUAAUUUAUGCAAGCAUAUUGAUCGAUAUAGUAAAUGCAUUCGUGGCGGUGAAUUUUUUUCUUCCCAUCAGAGAGAGAGAACCUUUCAAAAAAUAUUUAAACGCGAAAUCAUUAUCAAUCGCGCCCUAAUUUAUUAAAAAGGCAAGGAGAGAGAGAGCCUGUGGGUAAUCUGAAUUAAUAAGCAUCUAUCGCUAUGUUGUGUAGUACGUGAGUGUACUCAAAUGCUAUUUAAUUUAAGUUUAUAAUUUCUUGUUAAAUUAAAUUAAUGUUGUGUCUCUUUAAUCUUUCCGAGUUUUUCCUUGUUUAGGGAAAUUUUUGUUUGAACUGGCGGGGGCGGGAAGACCGGUAGGGAACAUAAAUUUACAUUUGGCAACGGCGCUAAUGGCUGCACGAAAAUAGAACAACAAAAAACAAAUUACAAAAAUGGGAUCGUCACGUCUCGUGUCUCGUCAUUGAUAACCUUGCUGUUGUUUAGCAGAUAGUUGUUCCCUGCAGCAGCCAUCUUCAUCAAGAACAACAAGUGCAAUGCUUAUGCUGGUUUCGAUCUGCCAUCAGCACCUGUGUCACCUUCAUCGAAAGGAUUAUUUGAAUCCCGCCUGAUUGGAGAAUCAACCAUUGUUGGACGAUUCAUCACUUCCCCUCUAGCGACUAGCUGCUGGACAGCAGCUCGUGUACUAAUGUGGGUAUAUUCACGAGGACGCCCUUCCUCUUAUCCCGCCUGCUUAUGCAUCCAACUUGUCUGCGGAUGAAGAACUUGGAGAUACCUGGUCAUAUUAUUACACCGAGGCCUAAAGGUAGGAAGAACUAUUGA